UCCCUGGUGGUCCAGUGGUUAGGACUUCUCCUGCCAAAGCAGGGGGUGCAGGUUUGAUCCCUGUUCUGGGAG
rnacentral:tRNA from 1 species